rnacentral:rRNA from 1 species
UACGUAGGGGGCAAGCGUUGUCCGGAAUUAUUGGGCGUAAAGCGCGUGUAGGCGGCCAGAUAAGUCCGCUGUGAAAUCUCGAGGCUCAACUUCGAGCUGUCGGUGGAAACUGUCUGGCUAGAGUCCGGAAGAGGAGAAUGGAAUUCCUGGUGUAGCGGUGAAAUGCGCAGAUAUCAGGAAGAACACCCGUGGCGAAGGCGGUUCUCUGGGCCUUACCUGACGCUGAGGAGCGAAAGCGUGGGGAGCGAACAGG